UACAGAGGUCCCAAGCGUUGUUCGGAUUCACUGGGCGUAAAGGGUGCGUAGGUGGCCAGGUAAGUUUGAUGUGAAAGCUCGGAGCUUAACUCCGAAAUGGCAUUGAAUACUAUCUGGCUUGAGGGUCGGAGGGGAGACUGGAAUACUUGGUGUAGCAGUGAAAUGCGUAGAUAUCAAGUGGAACACCAGUGGCGAAGGCGAGUCUCUGGACAUUUCCUGACGCUGAGGCACGAAAGCCAGGGGAGCAAACGGG
rnacentral:rRNA from 1 species